rnacentral:rRNA from 1 species
UACGUAGGUGGCAAGCGUUGUCCGGAAUUAUUGGGCGUAAAGCGCGCGCAGGCGGUCCCUUAAGUCUGAUGUGAAAGCCCACGGCUCAACCGUGGAGGGUCAUUGGAAACUGGGGGACUUGAGUACAGAAGAGGAAAGCGGAAUUCCACGUGUAGCGGUGAAAUGCGUAGAGAUGUGGAGGAACACCAGUGGCGAAGGCAGCUUUCUGGUCUGUAACUGACGCUGAGGCGCGAAAGCGUGGGGAGCAAACAGG